rnacentral:rRNA from 1 species
CCUACGGGAGGCAGCAGUGGGGAAUAUUGGACAAUGGACGCAAGUCUGACCCAGCAACGCCGCGUGAAGGAAGAAGGCUUUCGGGUUGUAAACUUCUUUUAAGGGGGAAGAGCAGAAGACGGUACCCCUUGAAUAAGCCACGGCUAACUACGUGCCAGCAGCCGCGGUAAUGCGUAGGUGGCAAGCGUUGUCCGGAUUUACUGGGUGUAAAGGGCGUGCAGCCGGAGAGACAAGUCAGAUGUGAAAUCCGCGGGCUUAACCCGCGAACUGCAUUUGAAACUGUUUCCCUUGAGUAUCGGAGAGGUCAUCGGAAUUCCUAGUGUAGCGGUGAAAUGCGUAGAUAUUAGGAAGAACACCAGUGGCGAAGGCGGAUGACUGGACGACAACUGACGGUGAGGCGCGAAAGCGUGGGGAGCAAACAGGAUUAGAUACCCGAGUAGUC